GGCGCAGGCCGCGUGGCCGCCUUCGGGUGAGCCGUGCGACUGCGCCAUCCUCGCGAGGAAGGCGUCGGCCUUCACUGGUCGGCGUUCGGACUCGCGUCCUUUACUGUGAAAAAAUUAGAGUGUUUAAAGCAGGCGAUCGCUUGAAUACAUUAGCAUGGAAUAAUGAAAUAGGACGUUCGAUCCUAUUUUGUUGGUUUCUAGGAUUGACGUA
rnacentral:rRNA from 1 species